GAUGAACGCUGGCGGCGUGCCUAAUACAUGCAAGUCGAACGAUCAGACGAGGAUCUUGCUCCUCUGACGUUAGCGACGGACGGGUGAGUAACACGUAAAUAACCUACCUAUAAGACUUAAAUAACGUCGAGAAACCGGAGCUAAUACCGGAUAAUAUAUUUAACAGGAUGGUUGAAGAGUGAGAGACGGUUUUUCUGUCACUGAUAGAUGGAUCCUCGCCGCAUUAGCUAGUUGGUAAGGUAACGGCUUACCAAGGCAACGAUGCGUAGCCGACAUGAGAGGGUGAACGGCGACCAUGGAAAUGAGACCCGGUCCAGACUCCUAAGGGCGGCAGCAGUAGGGAAUCUUGAGCAAUGGGCGAAAGCUUGAAGGCGCAACGAGGCGUGAGGGAUGAAGGUUUUAGGCUCUUAAAACUCAGUCAUUUGGGAAGAACAAAUGUGUAAGUAACUAUGCACGUCUUGACGGUACCUAAUAAGAAAGCGACGGCUAACUACGUG
rnacentral:rRNA from 1 species